AAAUGAAAACCCUUAUAUAUUAUCAUUUAAGUUUUUAUUUUUAUGAAGAAUGAUUUGAAUGAUAAAACGCAUUUUUACAAUGUGAAAAACUAAAUAAUCGAUCUAUUGAUUGAUCCAAACCAUAAGCUAUUCUAUACUGAAUGUUCUACAACUUCUACAUUUGGCGAUCUGAAAUUUUGUCUAUGGCAAUUUUACCAACUGUCAAUCUCCUAAAUUCCGUUGUAGGUUGUAUUUUUUCCUGCAAAAAAGAUGCUUUAACAAAUUUCAAGGCAAAAAUUAUAUCACUGAGCUAAAUUUAAAGACGGUACGGUAAAAAGAAAGUCUCCGAGAGCGUCCAUAAUGAUUUCCAUCUAUCAAAGAACCUACAAGAUGAAGAAAAUGGAAUUCAGACCAUCACACGAAUUUGCUUCUACUUAUUUCAUAAAACUAAAUGGUCAGGAAACCUAGUGUCCGUAUUUCUGGUCCAGCGUACUUAUUUACUUAUUUAUUUUACGUGCCUAAGUAUCGACAAUGCGAGUGUGACAGUGUCAGUGAAAUAAAUCCAAAGUUGGGAAUCGUUUCUACAAACAAGUAAGCUGACAACUAUAUUUAAAAGAUUCCCUGUGCCUGAUAUACACAACUGUUAUCGAAGAGAAAUAAGUUGAAAUUAUGGUGUGGGAAACUCCAUUUGCUGAUUUUGAAGAAUGUUUCCUGACCCUAAACACAAACAAAACCAACUUGAUGGCUGUCUGCUACCCGGUGACAAGCUGAGCGGAGCAAAUUCCCAUUGUUGCCCACAAAGGCCCCUCCGAGUGCUUCGACACUACCCUAUGUUUCCCGGAGGCUGACUUUGUCCCGGAGUGUCAAGGUGCCUUCACUGUACAUCUACUGACUGCUUCCAUUUAUGACAGCCUACCAAGACACUGCUGAUACAUGAAGACUCCUGUUUGCUGGCUUCAUCUCAAGAAUUUUGCUGCAAAAAUGGCUGCUGUCUCUACAUGCAGAGCUACAAAAAAAAUUGAAC